GAUCCUCAUUGUGCUAAACUAUCUUCUGACAUGGUGCAAGUUUUAAUUUGUGGAGCAGAUUGGGUUCGUCAACUUCAUGGGAUCAAUAAGCCUAUUAUGACAUAUGAGGAAGAAGAACCAAUUGAUGUCAUAUUGCAAGCAUGAUGGCUGGGGGAUAUUUGAAGUUUAAUUGUGAUUGUUAUUGUAGUACUUAAUUUUUGAAUUUGAUUGACUUUUUUUGGGUUGAUGUUGAAGCUUAAUUCAAACCUAAUAUUCUUAAUCUAGUAUUUAAUAUAUGAAUUUGAUGAUUGACUUUUUGUUGUUAUUUUAAUCUGAUUCUUGAUUAGUGUAUUAAUGUAACAUUUUAUGCUAUUUAA